CGCGUAGGCGGCUUAGCAAGUCAGAUGUGAAACGCCCCGGGCUUAACUCGGGAACUGCAUCUGAAACUGCUUUGCUUGAGUCCUGGAUGGGAUAGUGGAAUUCCCAGUGUAGCGGUGAAAUGCGUAGAUAUUGGGAGGAACACCUGCGGCGAAGGCGGCUAUCUGGACAGUGACUGACGCUGAGGCGCGAAAGCUAGGGGAGCGAACG
rnacentral:rRNA from 1 species